UCAUUGAAAAUAGAAAUAAUAUCAUUAGUCUUCUUAUUUUUAAUAAGCCAUAACUUUUGUUUUAUUCGAUAAACUCAAUUCAACGCUCCGUGAGCUAUCUGACAAUUGUCUUUUUCUUUCAAAUGAUGAUAAGUACUAUUGUCAUUUUCUUAUAAUUUAUACUUGACUUAUACGCAUAAUAUGACGACGUCAUAUUUGUUCUAGUUGUCUCACAGUUAUUCUUUAGCUCAGUUUCUACUUCUUUCUUGGUCUAUGAAUCAUUUUAUUUUGCUCAAAGUGAUUCAAAUUUAUAUUUUAUCAUUUCAUAGAGUUCCUCAUAAUUUUUGGGAUAAUAAUAUAUCACCCUUAUAUUUUUAUCUUAACUCUAUGAGCUAAAUCAUUCAGUGUCUAAAUCAAUUCGUAUCGGUUUUAAAAAAAUAUAUAUCUUCUCAAAAUAUAAUUAGAAAAUAUCUCACCAUCCUUAUCCCUCCAUCCACCUCAUCCUCGACUCACUCUCAUUUCUCUCUUCCUCACUAUUUCUUUUUCUUCCUUCACGUUUUCUUUCUUUCUUCAGCAGACCCAUUUCUGCUCUUUCUUCCUUUCUUCUCCUUUUCUUCUUCUUUUCUUUCUUGGUUACCUACUUUAUCUCCUUCUUUUAUUUGCUGCAACAACUCCCCACCGUUCCUCUUUCUCUUUUGAUCAGCAUCUCCACAUCCUUUUCUUCUCCAUGGACAACCAGUCCAUGAGCCACCACCUCUACUCUCCCUCUUGCAACCGCUGAUCACACCAUCACUAUCACCAUGAUUCUUCUCCUUUCUAACUUGCAGCAACAAACAUGGCACCACCACCAAUAUGAAAGCCACACACACCCCUUCUCAUCACAUAUUUGCUCCAUCUUCUAACCACCACCGUUCCUUGCUCUCCAUGGAGCCUAACAAUCCACCAUCUUUGUUCUCCUUCUUCUGGUUUUGAAUGGAGACCCCCAUGAAAGGACCCAAGCACCACCACCGUGAGCUCCACCACGCAGAGGACGCCACCGGCACAUCAUCUUCUCAUUUUCCUUGGUAAAAGCCUUAAUUUCUUGAUUAGUAUGUUUGUAUAUUUGAUUUCUAAAUUUAUCUGGGGUUUAGAUGAAUCAAAAUGGUUUGAGAUAGUGUUAUGGUGCUGAGAACAUGUUGGAAAUUUCAAAACCACGUUCUGUUAUGAAGUCCGUCACAAACAUCAGUUUUUCCGUCACAAAGCUCUGUUUUUCCGUCACUAACAGAACCUGCAGGGGACAAUUCCCUGUUUCGGUUCUCCAACUUGAAAAUUGCAUAACUCUCUCAUCUUUUAUCCGUUUUAGGUGUAUGAUCACUUUUUAGAAAGCCCCAAGAGUCUACUUUAAUAUAAAACACAUUUGAAACUCUUUCUACUGCUAAUUGGCUGAAGAAAAUAUAUAUUUCUAAUGUAAUAUGUUUUACUAAUCUCUUUACGAAGGUUGAGUGGUUGAGUAGAGUUUUAUGUUAAUGUAUUAAGUUUUCUAAAAAGUUGUUUCCUUUGAGUUAAGUGGUUUUGGGGGUUUUAAGGAUUUUGUUUUAAGCCUUAAUGUGCUUGAAAAGCUUUUGCGAAAAGUUUUGAAAGUCGAACAAGUUGUCGGAGUGUUAGGGAAUAAGCGUAUUGAUACUAUCUCGCUAGUCGAUGGAUGCUUAGGAAUAACAAGAUUGGAUAGAGAGCAAUUAAGUUUGGAUUUCCGAGUGAGGAAUUAGACUCCGAAAGGUAUUAAUUAGAAUGGAUUAAGUUAUGAUUGCAAUCUUGAUGUUGGAAGAUGACUUAGGAUUGAAUCUUGAAUUCCAAGAAGUCUAUGAGCUUUACUAUAAAUACUUGGUUCUAGAAGGUCUAGAUUUGAAACUUUGGAAGUUCAAGGACUUAGAAGUGAUUAAGGGAUUGAUUGAGGACUAGAAGUUAUUUCUUAGAGAUUGAUGACUUAUCUAUAAGUUGGGAUUUUUGUAGAACCAAAGUGGAGUUUCGAAGAGACUAGGGUUGUGUGUCUAAUGAGAUAUCGCGAGUUUAAGUUUAAGAGAAAUGAUUCGAUCGUUUUGAAGGAGCUUAUGAGUCAUGAAUAAGUACAUAAUCAUUAGAUAAGAAGAGUUGGUUGCCUUGGAAGUUAACUAUGGUUUAUGGAUUACUUGAUAAGAGUUAGUGGUUUUGAUAAGAAUUGAUAAUGAUACAACGUCGGCUUGAGGAAUAGAUCGUGAGAGCGAGUUGAGACAUUAAGUUGUUGUAGGUGACUUGAUAAGUAAGUAUUGAGGAUAAAGAGGAUUAUGGAAUAGAAAACGGGAAGAGAUUACUUAAGGAGGAUGAUAGGAGAAUGCUAUUGCAGAUGUUGUGUUAAUUGCUUUAACGGGAAGUGGUGUGUAGUAUUGCGAAAAUACCUCAAUGAGUAUCCUAUUAGAGACUGAGAUCUCUAAGGAAAAUGAGAGGAGUAAGUACUAGUAAUGUGUACUUAUCUAUUUUGACAAGCAUAUGAGUAUUUGGUUUUAAAGUUGAUUUACUAAGUCAUAAGAUUUUGAAGCUUUGUUAUUGCUUUGUUGUCAUUAUGAUGACUUAUCUUAAUUUCUGAGGUUGAUCUUGAUGGUUUAUAACCAUUAAGGAGAUUGAGUUUAACUUGUGAUUUCGUCGAGUCAAUUGCUUGAGAGUGUAGCUUUAGACUUGGAAAGUAGGUAGCUCAAUUAGUGAUUAUGUUAUGUGUACUUAUGAAGGGUAUGAAUAACGGAAGCGCUUGACGAUGAAGCCAAAGAACAGACGGAAGUGAGCCAACACGGGAAAGCAAAGAUAUGACUGGAUUUGAUUUGAGUCGCAACUUAGUAAGGAAAGCGCCUAAGAUGUCGAUGGCCGACUGGUUCUCGGUGGUCUCUCCCUCGGGGGGGGGGGGGAUCAGAUAUGAGCUGCAGGAUCGGGAUGCCCCACCGCUUGGGUGAUCGAUGUUGCUGGUCACCGGGCGACGUAUCGGGGAAGGGUCAUGGAGGACCGGACUGACGAGCGUGGACGACGACGAAAGGAGGUGAUGUGAGCAGAUGCUACUCCACUUGGAAGAUCUAUAGAAGACUCGAAGAAUAGAGUCGGGUGUAGGGCUAGAGCCUUUGGGUAGAAAAGCUUACCGUUAUUGGUUUAAGCUUGUAGGAUCAUUUUAUGAUUUGUAUUUAAGGUUUCGGGUAGGUUCCGGUGCAUUGCUUUCCUAUGGUUACUCAGUGUGGAAAUCAUAGGGAGUAUAUCGGAUUUAUGGAGUCAUUGCAUAGUGAGUCCGUUGUUGGAUCUUAGUUUAUUUGUCAUGUACUCUAUGCUGUGCCUUGAUCGAGGCCAGAUGUAAAUUAUUUACGGUUGGGAGUAUGCAUUACAUAUUUUAGAAACACUUCGAAAAGGAAAAAAAAAUAAAUACUCACAUUUAUAAAUCCCUUUUGGAAAAGAUUGCAUAUUUACUUUAACAUGUUACUACCGUGGCACCCGAAAAUGUGGGGUGUUACAUUGUGGUAUCAGAGCUUUGGUUGCGAUAACCAGAGCUUGUUGGGGAAUAGGUCUUCUGUGCUAGGUUGUGUGAACUCUGUAAUCGAUCAAUUGGGUUUUGGUCGAUUGACUGAGUGUUACUUUAUAGAUCGUUUGAAUUGUUUCCUAAGGAAACAAUGUGUAGUUAUUAGGGCAUCAUUUGAGGGUUGCUUGCUGAGGGCAAUCCUGUUGACGGCUUGUUUUCUUUCUUUAGCGUAGUAGAAAGCUUCUUGCUUGCUAUCACUGCUUUGAGCACUGACUGCUUGCUUUGACUUGGUGGUUAUUGCUUCCACCAAAACUUUAACCGUUAUGGUUAGCUCCUGCACUAUCAUGUGGUAUUUCAAGUAGAGAUUGCUAUUCUUCUGAUAGUAAUAGGGUAUAAGUAUGAGACUCAUUCCUUCGACCGUUGUUUGUAUUUAAGUAUAGAAGUUAUAUAGGGUUUAGAGAAUUUCGUUAAGCCUUGAAGUUUGUCUUAGACUAGUAUAAGCUAGUAAGGAGAGAUAGAAGCUAAGAAUGAAUCCUAAUGAGAUGUUGUAUGAAUUCCAGGAAUUAAGGUUGUGUCUUUUUCAAGACAAAAUUGUUAGAGAUUGAAUAGAUUAAGAGAUGAUCUAAGAUUAGAUGUGACUACUUGAUGAGAUAGACUCAUUGGCCUUACUAGCGGGUUUUUCUGAAUUUCCAUCGCCAAGAUAUUGAGCCUGAUCAACUGAAUAUUGAGGGGGUGAUAUUUGGAAUUACAACUGGCAUGGACUAUGAUAGGAGGAUUGAUUAGAUUUGAUCGAUGAUUAGUCGAGUUGGUAGGUAGGUUAUGUUAAGCACUUGAUUGUAGAGAAUUAAGAUCUAAAUCUCUGGAAGUUGAUGAUUGUCGUGUAGUCAUUAAAUGGUUAGUUCGCAUGACUACUUUAAGUAGAGAUAGUCUAAGUCAAUAGAUUCAAUGUUGGAGAUGCCUAAGUAUUCUUUUGAAUGUUAUGAAACCAUAAGUUAUAUGAUUGUGUACUAAAUACACUGAGAGACUAGACUUGUUGGUUUACUAUCACUUAGUUAGACUCUAGAGGAGUAAGUAAUGAUCAAACAAUGAUUUUGGAUUUUAGAGGAACACGACGAGGUUAGCAACUGAGAGUUUAUAAGUUGAACUGGAAUCUUAUGGUCGAGAUUGAUUUUGUAUGUUGAGAAUCAUGGGUGAAUAAGAGAGUUAGUGGUUUUAGUUUUGAGGAUAUCAGUUAGAUCUUCGGAGGUUUAAAGACUAAGGAUUGUUUGACGUGAGACUAAUCAAGCUAGAGAUUUUGAGUCUCGAGUUGUGUAGAGUGUUAAGACUUGAGAUAAGUUAUGAUUUGAUUUGUGACUAAGAGGAAGGUUGACUUUAUGGUUUGAAUAAGGGUAGUUCGGAAAGAAGAUUAGGUUGAUGGAUUGUUAGAUUCUAAUUAAGAUGGGAAUUUGCUUAAGAGUUGUUGGUCAAUGGAUGUUGAGUGCGAGAUUUUGGGUAGAAGAAACUUGUGACGAGAUUAAAAUAGUAUUAGCAUGAUGUUAUGAUUGUUAGUAUUAUGGUUGGACUAUUAGCGGGAGGGCAUGACGAUACAUGUGAGGUCGUUCAUGUAGGCGAUUGACGUAGGUGCUUAGAACACUACUAUGAGCAUGAUAUCUAGAUCUAGUGGAGGACGAUUAGUAGAUACCUAAGUCGUGCUUCUUGUCUUGUAUGUCACCUUUGAGGUGAAUUCGUUGUGACGUCUCCCAGUUUUGGGAUGCGCUCUGACACUACUUAGGGUGGAAGGAAAUGUGAGGGAAUGUUAUUCCCGAGUUUUCUCUGACACCAAGUUUCGAGGACGAAACUUUCUUUUUGGGGGGUAGUAUUGUAAGACCCUAAAAUAAAUAACUAGAUUAUUUAUUUAAUUUCAUUAUAUUAAUUAAUUGAGUGUUUAUAAUCUAUUAUUAUUUUUAAAGUUAUUUUCCUGACUUGAUUUUAAUUACGAAUCAAGGAAAUCAUUUAAAUGAUAAUUAAUUUCAAAAUAUUUUAUUUUCUAUAGUUUCAUUGAAAAUAGAAAUAAUAUCAUUAGUCUUCUUAUUUUUAAUAAGCCAUAACUUUUGUUUUAUUCGAUAAACUCAAUUCAACGCUCCGUGAGCUAUCUGACAAUUGUCUUUUUCUUUCAAAUGAUGAUAAGUACUAUUGUCAUUUUCUUAUAAUUUAUACUUGACUUAUACGCAUAAUAUGACGACGUCAUAUUUGUUCUAGUUGUCUCACAGUUAUUCUUUAGCUCAGUUUCUACUUCUUUCUUGGUCUAUGAAUCAUUUUAUUUUGCUCAAAGUGAUUCAAAUUUAUAUUUUAUCAUUUCAUAGAGUUCCUCAUAAUUUUUGGGAUAAUAAUAUAUCACCCUUAUAUUUUUAUCUUAACUCUAUGAGCUAAAUCAUUCAGUGUCUAAAUCAAUUCGUAUCGGUUUUAAAAAAAUAUAUAUCUUCUCAAAAUAUAAUUAGAAAAUAUCUCACCAUCCUUAUCCCUCCAUCCACCUCAUCCUCGACUCACUCUCAUUUCUCUCUUCCUCACUAUUUCUUUUUCUUCCUUCACGUUUUCUUUCUUUCUUCAGCAGACCCAUUUCUGCUCUUUCUUCCUUUCUUCUCCUUUUCUUCUUCUUUUCUUUCUUGGUUACCUACUUUAUCUCCUUCUUUUAUUUGCUGCAACAACUCCCCACCGUUCCUCUUUCUCUUUUGAUCAGCAUCUCCACAUCCUUUUCUUCUCCAUGGACAACCAGUCCAUGAGCCACCACCUCUACUCUCCCUCUUGCAACCGCUGAUCACACCAUCACUAUCACCAUGAUUCUUCUCCUUUCUAACUUGCAGCAACAAACAUGGCACCACCACCAAUAUGAAAGCCACACACACCCCUUCUCAUCACAUAUUUGCUCCAUCUUCUAACCACCACCGUUCCUUGCUCUCCAUGGAGCCUAACAAUCCACCAUCUUUGUUCUCCUUCUUCUGGUUUUGAAUGGAGACCCCCAUGAAAGGACCCAAGCACCACCACCGUGAGCUCCACCACGCAGAGGACGCCACCGGCACAUCAUCUUCUCAUUUUCCUUGGUAAAAGCCUUAAUUUCUUGAUUAGUAUGUUUGUAUAUUUGAUUUCUAAAUUUAUCUGGGGUUUAGAUGAAUCAAAAUGGUUUGAGAUAGUGUUAUGGUGCUGAGAACAUGUUGGAAAUUUCAAAACCACGUUCUGUUAUGAAGUCCGUCACAAACAUCAGUUUUUCCGUCACAAAGCUCUGUUUUUCCGUCACUAACAGAACCUGCAGGGGACAAUUCCCUGUUUCGGUUCUCCAACUUGAAAAUUGCAUAACUCUCUCAUCUUUUAUCCGUUUUAGGUGUAUGAUCACUUUUUAGAAAGCCCCAAGAGUCUACUUUAAUAUAAAACACAUUUGAAACUCUUUCUACUGCUAAUUGGCUGAAGAAAAUAUAUAUUUCUAAUGUAAUAUGUUUUACUAAUCUCUUUACGAAGGUUGAGUGGUUGAGUAGAGUUUUAUGUUAAUGUAUUAAGUUUUCUAAAAAGUUGUUUCCUUUGAGUUAAGUGGUUUUGGGGGUUUUAAGGAUUUUGUUUUAAGCCUUAAUGUGCUUGAAAAGCUUUUGCGAAAAGUUUUGAAAGUCGAACAAGUUGUCGGAGUGUUAGGGAAUAAGCGUAUUGAUACUAUCUCGCUAGUCGAUGGAUGCUUAGGAAUAACAAGAUUGGAUAGAGAGCAAUUAAGUUUGGAUUUCCGAGUGAGGAAUUAGACUCCGAAAGGUAUUAAUUAGAAUGGAUUAAGUUAUGAUUGCAAUCUUGAUGUUGGAAGAUGACUUAGGAUUGAAUCUUGAAUUCCAAGAAGUCUAUGAGCUUUACUAUAAAUACUUGGUUCUAGAAGGUCUAGAUUUGAAACUUUGGAAGUUCAAGGACUUAGAAGUGAUUAAGGGAUUGAUUGAGGACUAGAAGUUAUUUCUUAGAGAUUGAUGACUUAUCUAUAAGUUGGGAUUUUUGUAGAACCAAAGUGGAGUUUCGAAGAGACUAGGGUUGUGUGUCUAAUGAGAUAUCGCGAGUUUAAGUUUAAGAGAAAUGAUUCGAUCGUUUUGAAGGAGCUUAUGAGUCAUGAAUAAGUACAUAAUCAUUAGAUAAGAAGAGUUGGUUGCCUUGGAAGUUAACUAUGGUUUAUGGAUUACUUGAUAAGAGUUAGUGGUUUUGAUAAGAAUUGAUAAUGAUACAACGUCGGCUUGAGGAAUAGAUCGUGAGAGCGAGUUGAGACAUUAAGUUGUUGUAGGUGACUUGAUAAGUAAGUAUUGAGGAUAAAGAGGAUUAUGGAAUAGAAAACGGGAAGAGAUUACUUAAGGAGGAUGAUAGGAGAAUGCUAUUGCAGAUGUUGUGUUAAUUGCUUUAACGGGAAGUGGUGUGUAGUAUUGCGAAAAUACCUCAAUGAGUAUCCUAUUAGAGACUGAGAUCUCUAAGGAAAAUGAGAGGAGUAAGUACUAGUAAUGUGUACUUAUCUAUUUUGACAAGCAUAUGAGUAUUUGGUUUUAAAGUUGAUUUACUAAGUCAUAAGAUUUUGAAGCUUUGUUAUUGCUUUGUUGUCAUUAUGAUGACUUAUCUUAAUUUCUGAGGUUGAUCUUGAUGGUUUAUAACCAUUAAGGAGAUUGAGUUUAACUUGUGAUUUCGUCGAGUCAAUUGCUUGAGAGUGUAGCUUUAGACUUGGAAAGUAGGUAGCUCAAUUAGUGAUUAUGUUAUGUGUACUUAUGAAGGGUAUGAAUAACGGAAGCGCUUGACGAUGAAGCCAAAGAACAGACGGAAGUGAGCCAACACGGGAAAGCAAAGAUAUGACUGGAUUUGAUUUGAGUCGCAACUUAGUAAGGAAAGCGCCUAAGAUGUCGAUGGCCGACUGGUUCUCGGUGGUCUCUCCCUCGGGGGGGGGGGGGGGAUCAGAUAUGAGCUGCAGGAUCGGGAUGCCCCACCGCUUGGGUGAUCGAUGUUGCUGGUCACCGGGCGACGUAUCGGGGAAGGGUCAUGGAGGACCGGACUGACGAGCGUGGACGACGACGAAAGGAGGUGAUGUGAGCAGAUGCUACUCCACUUGGAAGAUCUAUAGAAGACUCGAAGAAUAGAGUCGGGUGUAGGGCUAGAGCCUUUGGGUAGAAAAGCUUACCGUUAUUGGUUUAAGCUUGCAGGAUCAUUUUAUGAUUUGUAUUUAAGGUUUCGGGUAGGUUCCGGUGCAUUGCUUUCCUAUGGUUACUCAGUGUGGAAAUCAUAGGGAGUAUAUCGGAUUUAUGGAGUCAUUGCAUAGUGAGUCCGUUGUUGGAUCUUAGUUUAUUUGUCAUGUACUCUAUGCUGUGCCUUGAUCGAGGCCAGAUGUAAAUUAUUUACGGUUGGGAGUAUGCAUUACAUAUUUUAGAAACACUUCGAAAAGGAAAAAAAAAUAAAUACUCACAUUUAUAAAUCCCUUUUGGAAAA